rnacentral:lncRNA from 1 species
AUUUUUUUUCCCUUCUCUUUCCCUACUACCAUGCUUCUCCUUCUAAUUCCUGGAGAUAAGACAUGUUUUCAUAGCUCUUCAGUAUUGCUCAUGAGAAAGUAGAAUCCUAUAUGAGGAAAUGAAGUGCUACCUCAUGCAAGAUGCUGCAGGACUCUAACCAAAGGGCUGGAAAUCUGUGCAAGGGCCUUUGAUGAAAUAAAACUGGGUGUUAAUGGCUGCUCACUGGGCAAACUUCAAAUUAUUCUUGGGGCCCACUCUACAUCCCAUAAACAGAAACUUGACCAGAAAGUUUCCAUUAAAAAGGCGAUUUCCUAUCCAUGCUAUGAUCCACAGCCAUUCAUAUGGUAUCUUUAACUCCUUCAGCUGGAAGUUAAAGCAACCAUGAGCAAAGCUGUAGGAAACUUCAUCUACCAAAAACAGGACAGGAUGUAAAACUUCACACCGAGUGUCAUGUGGCAGGAUGGGGAAGCACAAAAAGAGACUCAUGCAAAGUUUUGAAAACACCUUGAGAGAAGUGAACAAACAUCACUAUGAUGGACCAAAAAACAUGCAAUGAUGCAGAGCACUAUAAUUUCAAGCUGGUUGUUGAAAACUGCAUGAUCUGUGCUAGUGGUAGAAAAGGCGAAGAUGC